GCUAAUACCGCAUAAGCCCACGACCCGGCAUCGGGUAGAGGGAAAAGGAGAAAUCCGCUUUGAUGGCCUCGCGUCCGAUUAGCUAGUUGGUGAGGUAACGGCCCACCAAGGCGACGAUCGGUAGCCGGACUGAGAGGUUGAACGGCCACAUUGGGACUGAGACACGGCCCAGACUCCUACGGGAGGCAGCAGUGGGGAAUAUUGCACAAUGGGGGAAACCCUGAUGCAGCGACGCCGCGUGGAGGAAGAAGGUCUUCGGAUUGUAAACUCCUGUUGUUGAGGAAGAUAAUGACGGUACUCAACAAGGAAGUGACGGCUAACUAUGUGCCAGCAGCCGCGGUAAAACGUAGGUCACAAGCGUUGUCCGGAAUUACUGGGUGUAAAGGGAGCGCAGGCGGGAAGGCAAGUUGGAAGUGAAAUCCAUGGGCUCAACCCAUGAACUGCUUUCAAAACUGUUUUUCUUGAGUAGUGCAGAGGUAGGCGGAAUUCCCGGUGUAGCGGUGGAAUGCGUAGAUAUCGGGAGGAACACCAGUGGCGAAGGCGGCCUACUGGGCACCAACUGACGCUGAGGCUCGAAAGUGUGGGUAGCAAACAGGAUUAGAUACCCUGGUAGUCCACACUGUAAACGAUGAUUACUAGGUGUUGGAGGAUUGCCUCCUUCAGUGCCGCAGUUAACACAAUAAGUAAUCCACCUGGGGAGUACGACCGCAAGGUUGAAACUCAAAGGAAUUGACGGGGGCCCGCACAAGCAGUGGAGUAUGUGGUUUAAUUCGACGCAACGCGAAGAACCUUACCAAGUCUUGACAUCCUGCGACGCACAUAGAAAUAUGUGUUUCCUUCGGGACGCAGAGACAGGUGGUGCAUGGUUGUCGUCAGCUCGUGUCGCGAGAUGUUGGGUUAAGUCCCGCAACGAGCGCAACCCUUAUGGUCAGUUACUACGCAAGAGGACUCUGGCCAGACUGCCGUUGACAAAACGGAGGAAGGUGGGGAUGACGUCAAAUCAUCAUGCCCUUUAUGACUUGGGCUACACACGUACUACAAUGGCGUUAAACAAAGAGAAGCAAGACCGCGAGGUGGAGCAAAACUCAGAAACAACGUCCCAGUUCGGACUGCAGGCUGCAACUCGCCUGCACGAAGUCGGAAUUGCUAGUAAUCGCAGAUCAGCAUGCCGCGGUGAAUACGUUCCCGGGCCUUGUACACACCGCCCGUCACACCAUGAGAGCCGGGGGGACCCGAAGUCGGUAGUCUAACCGCAAGGAGGACGCCGCCGAAGGUAAAACUGGUGAUUGGGGUGAAGUCGGAACAAGGUA
rnacentral:rRNA from 1 species